UACGUAGGGUGCGAGCGUUGUCCGGAAUUAUUGGGCGUAAAGAGCUUGUAGGCGGUUUGUCGCGUCUGCCGUGAAAAUCCGGGGCUCAACCCCGGACUUGCGGUGGGUACGGGCAGACUAGAGUGUGGUAGGGGAGACUGGAAUUCCUGGUGUAGCGGUGAAAUGCGCAGAUAUCGGGAAGAACACCCGUGGCUAAGGCGGCUCUCUAGUACGGUACUGACGCUGAGACGCGAAAGCGUGGGGAGCGAACAGG
rnacentral:rRNA from 1 species